CGUUUAGCGACGUCACAGAGCCCCGGAGGAGAAGGCGCCAAGGCAGUUUGCCGGAGACUCCCGGGCAGAAGAUGCCCUCCAGGCUUUGACUACUACGUCGCAAGCUGCGGGCCACGGCCUGGGCUUCAGUGGAGAGCGCUUCGCCUCCUACGCCCACCUUCCUCGGGCCACCACCCCGCCGGUCUCUGUGCCCUGCAGACUUCCGCCCGCAGCCCCGCCGCGCUGGCUUCCUCGCACCUGGGCGGGGGCUACAGGCGCAAGUAGCCCGGGGCGGGGCCGGAUUGGGGGCGGGGCUCGCGUCAUGGACGGGCCUUGGAGAUGUGGGCGUGGUGUGUUGUCGGGGGCGGGGUCAUCCGGGAGGUUCUGGGCCUUCGGGCCGCGCCCAGCCGGGCGGGAGGCAGCGGCCG
rnacentral:lncRNA from 1 species